rnacentral:rRNA from 1 species
AUUGAACGCUGGCGGCAGGCCUAACACAUGCAAGUCGAGCGAACAGAUGAAGUGCUUGCACUUCUGACGUUAGCGGCGAACGGGUGAGUAACACGUAAGGAAUCUACCUAUAAGCGGGGGAUAACAUUCGGAAACGGGUGCUAAUACCGCAUAAUAUCUUCUUCCGCAUGGAAGAAGAUUGAAAGACGGCUCUGCUGUCACUUAUAGAUGACCUUGCGGUGCAUUAGUUAGUUGGUGGGGUAAUGGCCUACCAAGACGAUGAUGCAUAGCCGACCUGAGAGGGUGAUCGGCCACAUUGGAACUGAGACACGGCCCAAACUCCUACGGGAGGUAGCAGUAGGGAAUCUUCCGCAGUGGGCGAAAGCCUGACGGAGCAAUGCCGCGUGAGUGAAGAAGGCCUUCGGGUCGUAAAACUCUGUUAUAAGAGAAGAACAAAUUGUAGAGUAACUGCUACAGUCUUGACGGUAUCUUAUCAGAAAGCCACGGCUAACUACGUGCCAGCCGCCGCAGUAA